UUGCUACUCCCUUCGUUAGAAAUUACUUGUCGUAGAAAUGAAUAAAAGUGGAUGUAUUUAGAACUAAAAUACAUCUAGAUACAUCUAUUUCUAUGACAAGUAUUUCCGAACGAAAAGAGUAGUUU
rfam:Triticum aestivum genome assembly, contig: Triticum_aestivum_CS42_TGACv1_scaffold_570496_7AS